rnacentral:rRNA from 1 species
GCAAGUCGAACGGCAGCAAGGACUUCGGUCUGGUGGCGAGUGGCGAACGGGUGAGUAAUGUAUCGGAACUUGCCUAGUAGCGGGGGAUAACUACGCGAAAGCGUAGCUAAUACCGCAUACGCCCUUCGGGGGAAAGCGGGGGAUCGCAAGACCUUGCACUAUAAGAGAGGCCGAUAUCGGAUUAGCUAGUUGGUGGGGUAACGGCUCACCAAGGCGACGAUCCGUAGCUGGUUUGAGAGGACGACC